AAAACUAAAAGGAAUCAAAUUAGUAAAAUUCCGGUGAUCAUUUUUCAUUUCGCUCAUCUCAUAUUUCAAUUGGCGAUGUUCCACAAACUCUUAAAUGCUGCACAUCCUACGAAUGCAAUUCUGUCUUCUGAGCAUCCUGGGACAAACCUUGAUAUUAGAGAGUUAAGGAGGGGCUAAUUUCUAACGGAAGCAAGAUGAAAGAAGAAAUACCUAACCCCCAUCACCUAACUUCCCAUGCAAACAAGGGAUUAUUUUGUUCCCUUCACAUAAACGACAAUGUUAAGAUUAAGAUUUGGGGUCUAUGCCACGGAGCCUGUUGAGAAACUUAUACGAAAUGCAACACAUUUGUAGUAGCAAGGUUGACAAACUUAUACGAAAUGCAACACAUUUGUAGUAGCAAGGUUGACAGGAAGUCAUGCUAAUGUAACCUGUAGGCUGAGUGUAAGGCUGCGUAGCAAGCAGAACUCGGCCG